rnacentral:rRNA from 1 species
UGGCGGACGGGGGAGUAACGCGUGGGUAACCUGCCCUGUACAGGGGGAGUAACAGUUGGAAACGGCUGCUAAUACCGCAUAAGCGCACGAGAGGACAUCCUCUUGUGUGAAAAACUCCGGUGGUACAGGAUGGGCCCGCGUCUGAUUAGCUGGUUGGCAGGGUAACGGCCUACCAAGGCGACGAUCAGUAGCCGGUCUGAGAGGAUGAACGGCCACAUUGGGACUGAGACACGGUCCAA